rnacentral:ncRNA from 2 species
AUAGUCUUCAGUCUCCGAGUCUUAAGACCUAAAGCUUAAACCAUGGUUUUACGACCGAUAGGGUGCAACUGGAAACGGUUACGCCUCCCAUGCGGAAAGGAGCGAGCUGUAAAGGCUU